rfam:Clostridium sp. KLE 1755 genomic scaffold Scaffold854, whole genome shotgun sequence.
UUUAACACUUGGCAAACUUAUUGAAAGAUAAGGACGCAAAGCUACAGGGCCUUCCCUCUAUAAGAGGUUGGCAGCCAGUUGCCUGA